GGAUUGCGAUGGCUCUGGGGUUUGCGCAGAAUGCAGAGGGGAAGGAUUUGUGCUAAAAAAGAUGUCGGAUGAAAAUGCUGAAAGAGCGAGACUAAUGGCAAAGAAUGCAGCUACCAGAUAUACAGCAGGGCUUCCGAAAAAGUGGGGCUACUGUAUGAAAUGCAAUGCUGCCAGAUCUUGUAGUUCAUGUGGCGGCGUUGGCAAAUUGAACUAAUUGUUCUGCAUUAGACAGACAUUUGUC
rnacentral:misc_RNA from 1 species